UGCCAGCAGCCGCGGUAAUACGGAGGUUGCGAGCGUUGUUCGGAUUUACUGGGCGUAAAGGGAGCGCAGGCGGUUUGGUAAGUCGAAAGUGGAAAUCCGGGGCUCAACCUCGGACUUGCUUUCGAUACUGCCCGACUAGAGUACGCGAGAGGAAAGUGGAAUUCCAGGUGUAGCGGUGAAAUGCGUAGAUAUCUGGAGGAACACCAGUGGCGAAAGCAGCUUUCUGGCGCGUUACUGACGCUGAGACGCGAAAGCGUGGGGAGCAAACAGGAUUAGAUA
rnacentral:rRNA from 1 species